rnacentral:rRNA from 1 species
ACUUUGCAAUGUGCGAAAGCACGACAAGGUUAAUCCGAGUGUUUCCUGCUAAAGGAAUCUUUUGUUAGUUUUAACAGCACUGAUGAAUAAGGGGUGGGCAAGUUCUGGUGUCAGCCGCCGCGGUAAAACCAGCACCUCAAGUGGUCAGGAGGAUUAUUGGGCCUAAAGCAUCCGUAGCCGGCUCUGUUAGUUUUCGGUUAAAUCUAUAUGCUCAACAUAUAGGCUGCCGGGAAUACUGCAAAGCUAGGAAGUGGGAGAGGUAGACGGUACUCCGUAGGAAGGGGUAAAAUCCUUUGAUCUAUGGAUGACCACCUGUGCGAAGGCGGUCUACCAGACACGUUCGACGGUGAGGGAUGAAAGCGUGGGGGAGCGAAACCGGGAUUA